UGGGGAAUAUUGCACAAUGGGCGCAAGCCUGAUGCAGCAACGCCGCGUGAACGAUGAAGGUCUUCGGAUCGUAAAGUUCUGUUGCAGGGGAAGAUAAUGACGGUACCCUGUGAGGAAGCCCCGGCUAACUACGUGCCAGCAGCCGCGGUAAUACGUAGGGGGCUAGCGUUAUCCGGAUUUAUUGGGCGUAAAGCGAGCGCAGGCGGUUAGAAAAGUCUGAAGUGAAAGGCAGUGGCUCAACCAUUGUAGGCUUUGGAAACUGUUUAACUUGAGUGCAGAAGGGGAGAGUGGAAUUCCAUGUGUAGCGGUGAAAUGCGUAGAUAUAUGGAGGAACACCGGUGGCGAAAACGGCUCUCUGGUCUGUAACUGACGCUGAGGCUCGAAAGCGUGGGGAGCGAACAGG
rnacentral:rRNA from 1 species